GUGGGGAAUCUUCCGCAAUGGACGAAAGUCUGACGGAGCAACGCCGCGUGAGUGAAGAAGGUUUUCGGAUCGUAAAGCUCUUUCGUUAGGGACGAACGUGCUCUUUGUGAAUAAUGAGGAGUAAUGACGGUACCUAAAUAAGAAGCCACGGCUAACUACGUGCCAGCAGCCGCGGUAAUACGUAGGUGGCAAGCGUUGUCCGGAAUUAUUGGGCGUAAAGCGCGCGCAGGCGGGAUAUCAAGUCUGUCUUAAAAGUGCGAGGCUCAACCUCGUGAGGGGUGAGAAACUGGUAUUCUUGAGUGUCGGAGAGGAAAGUGGAAUUCCAAGUGUAGCGGUGAAAUGCGUAGAGAUUUGGAAGAACACCAGUGGCGAAGGCGACUUUCUGGACGAUGUCUGACGCUGAGGCGCGAAAGCUAGGGGAGCGAACGGGAUUAGAAACCCGUGUAGUCC
rnacentral:rRNA from 1 species